rnacentral:rRNA from 1 species
UACGGAGGGUGCAAGCGUUAAUCGGAAUUACUGGGCGUAAAGCGCACGCAGGCGGUUUGUUAAGUCAGAUGUGAAAUCCCCGGGCUUAACUUGGGAAUUGCAUCUGAAACUGGUUGGCUAGAGUCUUGUAGAGGGGGGUAGAAUUCCAUGUGUAGCGGUGAAAUGCGUAGAGAUGUGGAGGAAUACCGGUGGCGAAGGCGGACCCCUGGACGAAGACCGACGCUCAGGUGCGAAAGCGUGGGGAGCAAACAGG